UACGUAGGGUGCAAGCGUUGUCCGGAAUUAUUGGGCGUAAAGGGCUCGUAGGCGGUCUGUCGCGUCGGAUGUGAAAACUCGGGGCUCAACCCCGAGCCUGCAUUCGAUACGGGCAGACUAGAGUUCGGUAGGGGAGACUGGAAUUCCUGGUGUAGCGGUGAAAUGCGCAGAUAUCAGGAGGAACACCGGUGGCGAAGGCGGGUCUCUGGGCCGAUACUGACGCUGAGGAGCGAAAGCGUGGGGAGCGAACAGG
rnacentral:rRNA from 1 species